rnacentral:rRNA from 1 species
UACAGAGGGUGCGAGCGUUAAUCGGAAUUACUGGGCGUAAAGCGUGCGCAGGCGGUUCGUUGUGUCUGUGGUGAAAGCCCCGGGCUUAACCUGGGAAUGGCCAUGGAAACUGGCGAGCUGGAGUGUGGCAGAGGGGGGUGGAAUUCCACGUGUAGCAGUGAAAUGCGUAGAGAUGUGGAGGAACACCGAUGGCGAAGGCAGCCCCCUGGGCUAACACUGACGCUCAGGCACGAAAGCGUGGGGAGCAAACAGG